GGAUACAUAACUCAGCUGGCUAGAGUAUUGCGUUGACGUCGCAAAAGUCACUGGUUCGAAUCCAGUUGUAUUCA
rnacentral:tRNA from 1 species